AUGUUGACCCUGGGGUGUGUGGCUGCGGGUGGUCUUUCCGCCAGCUGGGGCCCGGUCAUGCACACCGGGAGGUGGUGCAGGUUCCUGCCGGCUGUGUGCGUGGUUGCUGAUGGGCAGAAGCAGCUACCUGCCCCUAGGACCCCUGUGGGGUUUGUUGCUGAGCGAAGGUGGCGCACCAGGUGAAAUGAGGAAAGCUGCAGCUGACGUACUGCAGUAACAGGUUUCCCAGGAGAAUGAGUAGCCUGUCUGUCCUGACUGUGUAGCUAUCUACUUAUUAUGUCUGAAGGGUUUUGCUUGAACUGCGUGCAACAAAAGAGGCCUAAGGCCCGUAUUGAACAGCAAGAGAAAGCAAAACUCCAGGUAAGUGCUGGCUGUUGCAAAGUUGAUUGGGAAUUGAGUGGCUGGGGGUCUUUCCAACAGAACUCGGUAUGCAGACAGAAAUGUGACCAAGGUCCUUGCCUGUCUUCUGAUGAAGCUGUGGUAUUUGUAAUUUGUGACCCGUAACUGUAUGGAGUUGCUAAAUCAUUAAGGGAUAAUAGAGACAUCCCUGGUUCAGCUUCUACCACGGUCAUUGCAGCAUUUGUUGAUACACUGCUGGGCUCUUCCUGUAAAGAUAUAUAUCUGGGGGUGUGUUAUCCCAAGGAUGCUGAUGUUCGCUGUCAUGGGUAAAGCGGAAGACUUUGUGGCUAGGGAAGAAUGUCGUGGACAUGUUACUGCUCUCUCUGUUGCAUGUGAAUUUGAUCAGUUGGGUUUAGCUGUUAAUGACUGGAAGAAAUCUUGGAAAAGUGAGUAUUAUCCUUCUCUUUAAAUUCACCUUUUAAAGUAUUCUUUCUGCAGACUCCUGUCCGUGGUUUAGGUACUUGAUUUGCAUGAAACAGACCCAGACUUUUCUAUUCAAGUGUCCAGAUUGAAAUUACCUGUAGUCAUAGAACAAGAAUUAUAAAUGAUGCUUGGCAGAUUAAAAUCUCUUGGUUUCUACGAAGGUUAAGUUGCCAAAAUGAAUAGGAAGUAGCCUAAAUUUCAGUAAAGACGUUGAAUAAAAGGUCCUUUUCUCGAUAGGAAAAGAGCUUUGCAAAACAAACUCUGUUUCCAAUAGGGCUCCCUAUGUACUAGUUCACUAAUUGUAGGCUUUGAAUGGUCCCCUCGGGUACAAUAUUGCACAAAUGUUGUGCUGCAGACAGUACCUUAGCUUACUUUCCGUCACAUCCUGGGUUGCUUGUACUUGCAGAAAAUUUACUUCAGCGUCAAAUAAACACACAGGGAAACAUCCCCAACUCAUGCCAGUAGGACAAUCCCCUUAUGGCUGGUAAAAUCCAAAAACUGUAUGAUGCUUUGAAGAACUUACCUAUUGAGGAGAAGGGCUAUGUCCUGUAAGGCAACAGAUUUUUGAGAUUGGUUCCUGCCCCCCCCCCCAUGCAUUUAGAAGGAGGCAGUCCCUAAGCCAAUGCAAUCUAAAUGCAUUUAAACUGUAGAUUGUUAUUUCCAUAAAAUACAAAUUAAUGUAUUUUUUAAAUUGAGGCUCGUGUGUGUUUGGCUUGUCCCAAUAACUGGUGUAGUUAUCGGUACAAGUAUUUUUUGGUCACGUGACCAAUGUUGGAUUUGUCCCUUGGUAAAGGACUGCAUCCCGUAUGUUCAGCUUUUCUUCCUUACCAUGUCUUAUUUAUUCUUUUCUGAAAGAAAGUGUGAAUUUUUCAUUGAUCUCUUUGUGAGGAUAUCAAAUAAGGUUGCAGUAAAUAUGUAUAAGCAAGUAGGCUACAGUGUGUACUGGACAGUAUUAGAGUACUGUUCUGCUAGCAGUGGAGAGCCAGAUGAACAUAUCCACAGUAAGGGCUUGUUCUGCCUCAAGUUGAAUGGAAAGAUUCUGAUGUUAAGUGUUAAGCAUCCCAGGGAAUGUUUGUAGGACUGUUUUUAUAUGAUAAAAGUUCAGAUGGUUGUCAAUGAAUGGGAUUUUGUUUGCCUCUUUUAGAUAGCUAUUCCUACUGAAGAUCACAUCAAUUACAAAAUGUAACCAUGUGGUUUAUACAUUUUGUAGCAUCUGUAGCAAAAUAAACAGGCAGAUGAAUAAAUUAGCAGGUACAAAUACAUAUUAUUCUAUAGAUAAGAUUAAAUAACGUGCAGUUACUUCUCUGUUUUAUCUUUCAAAGCAUGUUCUUGCUGAGUGCCUGAGCUUUUUGCUCACGUUAUUGAGGAAAGGAAUGGCUGUGCUUCUUCCCCCUUCCCCCUUCUUUUUUUUUCUGCUCUUCCUUGUUAACAGGGACUUAAAAUGGUUUUCUCAGAUGUACAGAUGAAAAUUUAAAAAAAUGCUAAUGGUCAACACUGACGGAAUUGGGUGACAUUUUCAAGGAUGCUCCACAAAGGCUUUUGUGGACACAUUGUGUAUCUUUUCUGUUCUUCCACUAUUCAUUUCUUAUGAAAGAUUACUAUGAAAUACAAAGGCUGUGGACAACCAUCUACCGUUGUUGCAGAUGCACCCCUGUGCAUUCUCUUGGUUGGGCGACAGCUGAGCCUCCAGAUCCUUACAGAGGAGGAAGCCAGGGGAGAGAGCGAGCGAGAAGCGUCUGAACCGUGAAAUCCUCCUGGCGGCGCCCAGAGUGGGAGCUGUGGUUCUUCACCAAGAGGGUUGUUGCACACUGGAACAGGCUCCAGGGACACAGUCACAGCACCAAGCCUGUCAGAGUUCAAGAAGCGCUUGGACUGUGCACUUAGUCAUAUGGUCUGAAUUUUUGGGUAGACCUGCGUGCUGUGAGGAGUUGGACUCGAUGAUCCUUAUGGGUCCUUUCCAACUCGGGAUAUUCUAUGAUUGUAUGAUUUUAUUUCUCUCUCAAUUUCUUUCUGUCAGUUUUUUCCCACUUUGUCUGCCUCUGCUUUUCUGUGUUGUUGCAUCCCGUUCCACUCCACUGUUUCGAUUGCGCUUCCUUGCUCUCUACCCCUCUAUUUCAGUCCAUCUGUUGUGCUCCCUGUCCCCUUUCCCAGUCCAACCCUAUGUCCCUGUGCUGGCCUUUCUCUGCAUCCCACACCCAUCAUGAUUCUCUCUCUCCCUCUUUCUCGUGCCUCCCCCCCUCCAUUCCUCUGUCCCAGUUCCUGUCCCUUUCCUCGUAUCCCUUUGCUUGCUUUUCUGUGUCACUCUGUCCUGCUUCCCCUGCCCCUGGUGUUCCCUGAUACACCUCUUCCUGUGUUUAGUCUCGCUUCUGGUCCCUCUCUGUUCUGCUUCCUGUCCUUGUCUUUUCUGUCUGUCUCUCACUGUGCUGUUCCCUAUUUCCUCCUGAUCAUCCCUGUCCUGCUCCCUAUGUGGUUCUGUCCCUCUGCCCUGCUGGUUCUCUGUCUACUUUCUCUCUUCCUGCUUGUGUCCUUUUCCUUUGCCCUUCCUCCUUCUGUGCUUCAGAGCACAUGGCUGCAGGAGGCAACUAUUCCCUGCGGGAUGGAUGGACAGAGGGAGUGAUGCUGCUCGAUGCUGGAGCCCUGUGCCCUCCCCCCCAGGGGAAGGGGAGAACAUAUGGGCAGAGAACCCUGCCACAGCCUCCCUCUGGGGAGUCCUGCGCAUGAGUUAAUAAAGAGUUUGCUUUCUGGCUUGCGCUGCUGUCUGUG